CGCAAGGUGAACAUCAUACUUUGUAAAUUCUGCUCAGUGACUAACUGUUUAACAGCAGCGGUAUUUUGACCGUUCAAAGGUAGCAUAAUAAGUUUAGUAAUUGUAAACCUGUCAAUGGGACCAUGGGUUUAUUUUUAUGAAAGUUUAAAACGUAAUAAAUUAAACAAAAAGUAAAAACUCUUUUUUUUAUUUAAAAGACGAUAAGACCCUAGAAUUUUCUAUUAAAGUUUAGGUGGGGAAUCUAAGAUUUUACAAACAAUCUUGUAUUAAAAUACUCUAGGGAUAACAGCUUUAUUUUAAAAAAUUUUUAAAGGUUAAGACCUCGAUGUUGAAUUAAGAAAUCAGUUUUUCAAAAGGAAAUUGAUCCAGGUCUGUUCGACCUAGUUUCUCUU
rnacentral:rRNA from 1 species